UACGGAGGGGGCUAGCGUUGUUCGGAAUUACUGGGCGUAAAGCGCACGUAGGCGGCUUUGUAAGUUAGAGGUGAAGGCCCAGGGCUCAACCCUGGAAUUGCCUUUAAGACUGCAUCGCUUGAACAUCGGAGAGGUAAGUGGAAUUCCGAGUGUAGAGGUGAAAUUCGUAGAUAUUCGGAAGAACACCAGUGGCGAAGGCGACUUACUGGACGAUUGUUGACGCUGAGGUGCGAAAGCGUGGGGAGCGAACAGG
rnacentral:rRNA from 1 species